rnacentral:rRNA from 1 species
CAAUAGCGUAUAUUAACGUUGUUGCAGUUAAAAAGCUCGUAGUUGGAUUUCUGGAGGGAGCGUCGGCCCGUAUUUACGAGUGCGUGACGUCUCUGUCCAUCCUUGCGGGAAGGCACGGCAUUGAUUUGUUGUGUCGGAUCGCAUCAUUUACUGUGAAAAAAUUAGAGUGUUCAAAGCAGGCUUUCGCUUGAAUACAUUAGCAUGGAAUAAUAAGAUAGGACUUUGGUGCUAUUUUGUUGGUUUGCAGACCGAAGUAAUGAUUAAUAGGGAUAGUUGGGGGUAUUUAUAUUCCGAUGUCAGAGGUGAAAUUCUUAGAUUUUCGGAAGAUAAACUUAUGCGAAAGCAUUUACCAAGGAUGUUUUCAUUAA